UCCGCCUACGGGACGCAGCAGUGAGGAAUAUUGGUCAAUGGUCGGGAGACUGAACCAGCCAAGCCGCGUGAGGGAUGAAGGUACAGAGUAUCGUAAACCUCUUUUGUCAGGGAACAAAGGCGGGGACGUGUCCCCGGAUGAGUGUACCUGAAGAAAAAGCAUCGGCUAACUCCGUGCCAGCAGCCGCGGUAAUACGGAGGAUGCGAGCGUUAUCCGGAUUUAUUGGGUUUAAAGGGUGCGUAGGCGGGAUGCCAAGUCAGCGGUCAAAUACGGGGGCUCAACCUGCGUCCGCCGUUGAAACUGGC
rnacentral:rRNA from 1 species